GGUGGUUCAGUGGUAGAGUGCUUGCCUCGCAUGCAUGAAGCCCUGGGUUCGAUUCCUCAGCACCA
rnacentral:tRNA from 1 species